rnacentral:rRNA from 1 species
CAGCUCUCCGAGUGGUAGGGAUGAUUAUUGGGCUUAAAGCGUCCGUAGCCGGCUUAGCAAGUCUCCUGUUAAAUUCAGCGACCUAAUCGUUGAGCCGCGGGAGAUACUACUAGGCUAGGAGGCGGGAGAGGUCGACGGUACUUCUGGGGUAGGGGUGAAAUCCUAUAAUCCCGGGAGGACCACCAGUGGCGAAGGCUGUUGACUAGAACGCGCUCGACGGUGAGGGACGAAAGCUGGGGGAGCGAACCGGAUUAGAUACCCGAGUAGUCC